ACCCGUUGAUCCUGCGGGAGAUUGCUGCUAUUGGGAUUCGAUUAAGCCAUGCAAGUCCAGGGGGUACUUCGGUACCACCGGCAUAUCGCUCAGUAACCCGUCGAUAAUCUGCCCUUGGAUUCAGGAUAACCUCGGUAAACUGAGGCUAAUACUGAAUAGGGGAUCUGUGCUGGAAUGCACUUUCCCUGAAACGUAAGGUCCAAGGAUGAGUCGGCGGCUGAUUAGGUUGUUGGAGAGGUAAAGGCUCACCAAGCCGAAGAUCAGUAGGGGCCUUGAGAGAGGUAGCCCCGAGAAGGGUACUGAGACACUGACCCUACCCCUACGGGGUGCAGCAGGCGCGAAACCUUUACAAUGCACGAAAGUGUGAUAAGGGAAUCCCAAGUGCUCAUGUAUUGCAUGGGCUUUUUGCCAAGAGUAAAUAUCUUGGCGAAUAAGUGGUGGGAAAGACUGGUGCCAGCAGCCGCGGUAACACCAGCGCCACAAGUGGCAAUCACAAUUAUUGGGCCUAAAGCGUCCGUAGCCGGUUUGAUAAAUCUCUUGUGAAAUCAUGGGGCUUAACUUCAUGUCGUGCAGGAGACACUAUCAGACUUGGAACCGGGAGGAGUCAGAGGUAUUCUGGGGGGAGCGGUAAAAUGUUAUAAUCCCCGGAGGACCACCUGUGGCGAAGGCGUCUGACUAGAACGGAUUCGACGGUGAGGGACGAAGGCUGGGGGAGCAAACCGGAUUAGAUACCCGAGUAGUCCCAGCAGUAAACGCUGCGAGCUAGGUGUUGCAUAUUCUCCGAGAGUAUGCAGUGUCGAAGCAAAGGUGAUAAGCUCGCCGCCUGGGAAGUACGGUCGCAAGACUGAAACUUAAAGGAAUUGGCGGGGGAGCACAACAAGUGGUGCGGCGUGCGGUUUAAUCUAACUCAACGCAGAAAAUCUCACCAGGAGCGACGGUAGGAUGAAAGUCAGGCUGAAGACCUUACUUGACGAACCGAGAGGUAGUGCAUGGCCGUCGUCAGCUCGUGCCGUAAGGUGUCCUGUUAAGUCAGGCAACGAGCGAGACCUGCGCCUACAAUUGCCAGCGACUGCUUGCAGGAUUGGGCACAUUGUAGGGACUGCCCUGGAAACAGGGAGGAAGGUGCAGGCUACGGUAGGUCUGUAUGCUCCGAAUCCUCUGGGCUACACGCGCGCAACAAUGGUAAGGACAAUGGGAUACAACUCCGAAAGGAGAAGUCAAGCCUCUAAACCUUAUCUAAGUCCAGAUUGAGGGCUGUAACUCGCCCUCAUGACGAUGGAAUCCCUAGUAGUCGGAAUUCAACAUGUUCCGGUGAAUAUGUCCCUGCUCCUUGCACACACCGCCCGUCAAACCAACCGAGCAGGGUUUUGGUGAGGCUUAGUUUAAUUGAUUAAGUCGAACCAGAGCUCAGUGAGGUGGGUUAAGUCGUCACAAGGUA
rnacentral:rRNA from 1 species